CUGAAAGCAUCUAAGCACGAAACUUGCCCCGAGAUGAGUUCUCCCUGAGACUUAGAGUCUCCUGAAGGAACGUUGAAGACGACGACGUUGAUAGGCCGGGUGUGUAAGCGCAGCGAUGCGUUGAGCUAACCGGUACUAAUGAACCGUGAGGCUUAACCUUAC
rnacentral:rRNA from 1 species